UAAUUUUAGUAUAGGAAACCAACUUAUGGUCAUCAAAUUUGACAAGAAUAAGCUAGAGGGGAAAGUCCCGCAAUCUUUGAUCAAUUGCAAAUAUUUGGAAGUUCUUGAUUUAGGUAACAAUGAGUUGAGUGACAUAUUUCCUAAAUGGUUGGGAGCCCUACCUAAGUUGCAGAUUUUGAACUUGAGAUCAAAUAAGUUUUAUGGCCCUAUAAAAGUUUCAAGGGCUGACAACUUAUUUGCUCAAAUUCGAGUCAUAGAUCUCUCAUCCAAUGGAUUUAGUGGAGAUUUACCAGUGAGCCUUUUUGGGAAUUUUGAAGCCAUGAAAAUAAUUGGUAAGAACAGUGGAAGCCGAGAGUAUGUAGCAGAUAUGCCUUCUGUUUUUUAUACAAGUUCCUUUAUAGUGACAACAAAGGGACUGGAGCUUGAAUUUCCUCGAGUUUUGACUAUAGAGAUUAUUAUCAAUCUCUCAAGGAAUAGAUUUGAAGGUCAUAUCCCAAGCAUAAUUGGAGAUCUAAUUGGGCUUCGUACGUUGAACUUAUCUCAUAAUCGCUUGGAGGGUCAUUUACCAGCUUCACUACACCAAUUAUCUGUACUUGAAUCAUUGGAUCUCUCAUCAAACAAAAUCAGCGGAGAAAUUCCACAACAACUUGCAUCCCUCACAUUUCUUGCAAUCAUAAAUCUCUCUCACAAUCAUCUUGUUGGAUGCAUCCCCAAAGGAAAACAAUUUGAUACAUUUGAGAAUAGUUCAUACCAAGGAAAUGAUGGGUUACGUGGAUUGCCACUCUCAAAAGAUUGUGGCGGUGAUGAAGGGGUACCACAAAUGACGAAUCCAAUUGAGCUAGAUGAAGAAGAAGGAGGAGAUUCAUCAAUGAUCAGUUGGCAGGAGGUUCUCAUGGGUUACGGUUGUGGACUUGUUAUUGGAUUGUCCAUUAUAUACAUAAUGCUGUCAACUCAAUAUCCAGCAUGGUUUUCGAAGAUGGAUGUAGAAUUGGAACACAAAAUUAUGACGAGAAUAAAAAGGCACAAGAAAAAACAUUAGUGUGUAACCUCCAGGUAUUCAACUUAAUCUCUAUCCUUCAAAGGAUUACAUUUUAUAUAUCCAUAAAUUUUCUACCUCCUUCAUCGUUAAAGCUUUUAACUUUAAUUCUUCAUUUUUGAAAAUUGCAGGAUUCACGUCCACUGCUUUGCUGGGAUGCGAAUAAAAUCUUUUAAUUUCAUAGUUUGUGAUGUGUCAUAAAGUGUUUGUGUUUUUUUCCAUAGUUUGUGAUGUUUCAUAAAGUGUUAGUUAAACAUAGCAAGACUUAUCUGGGUGACAUGGUCUUUUUGUGUGAUGGUUGAUCCUAAUUCAGUCCUAUAAUUCCGGUUCAUAUUCGUAUUGAUGUAUAGAUAUUUGACAAUAAAACAGAACAUGCUAAAAUUUAUGAUUGGUAAUCUAUCAUUCACCUCUAUCAACUCGUAAGAGUACACUCAGUGAGAUGCAUUCCACAAUGCAAUAAUUUUGAUUUUUCAAAUUCAACAUCAAAUGCUGCUAUUGCACGUUCCGGAACCUUAAAAUUGGAACACAAAAUUAUUACGAGAAUGAAAAGGCACAAGAGAAAAUAUUAGUGUGAUGCAAAUAAAAGCUUUUACUUUCCUAGUUUGUGAUGUUUUUGAAGGGUGUAUUUUCCUAUGUAUAAAAGCAUUAGUUUUCGUUUAUCAAUAGUUUGUUACUUAUUCAACGUAAUUAUUAGUUAUCUAAUUGGAUCCGACGGCAAAGUUCAGUUAAUGCAUAUAAACAUUUGAGAUUCAAUUUUCUUAUUGAACACUUAUUGGUAAAAAGUUUGUAGAACGACCUCAAGUUAAGAUUGUGAAUUCGCCCAACAAACUGCUUCUUGUCAAAAUUACGUAGAAAGUGCAAUACUUUGUUUUUAAGGUAUAAAGAGGUAUUUUAAGUUUAUAUGCCAAGUGGAAUUCUCUUGUUUCUGAAUCCGAUUUCACGGAUAUCCAUACAACUCACUCUAUGACCCGUCCGCGUGGAGCAAAAUUCUUUUUGGACGGAAGGGAAUUUUAUUACACUGUUGAUCAUCAAACGGAAGAUGAAAAAGCCUCUGCUUUCGGCAGUACUAGAUACCAAUACUGGUAUUUCAUUGUUCCUCUGUUUUAUAAAGAAAAAACAACGUAUAAAUGUUUAUGUAGCCAUCCAAAAAAAAUUUAACAGAUACAAAAAAAUAUAUUACAAUAUAGCCGCAAAAAAUAGUUUUAAUUUUUUUUUUACUUUUUUCUCUUUUUCCAUUCACAUUUUUUUUAUUCUCAUAUUUUACACUAAAAAUGAAAGGGAAAAAAAUAAAUAAGAAUAAGAGACUCAAAUAAUGAUAAGCAAAUAAAUCUAUAACAGCGAUAUCAAACUACGUAUUGAAUAAAAAAAAAUCAUGUGUGAGAAAGAUCAAAUAUACCCUGAAUUUUGCAGAAAGGAUCAUAUAUACCUGUACAUGAAUUCUUUUUAAAAAAAUAAAAGAAUUUAACAUUAAUGUUUUCACUACCAUUAGAAAAAGUAAUCUUUGUGCAUAUGACCAAACCUACUUGGAUUUUUUACUUGAAAGUCAAAGGUCUGUACAACAACCAACACUCAUAUCCAAACCAAUCAAAAUAAAAUUGGAAAAUGCUUUGGUCAAGGGUCUAUGCACCAACUAGUACUCUUAUAGAAUUUUCUUUUUCAUUGGACUCUGCAUAUACAACUGACCUCACUAAAUUUGAAUUUAUUUGCUUAAUUUGUGCUAUAUAUACCUUAUCAAAGUUAUUGAAUAGAGGAAGAAAACAAAGAGUUGUUUGAACAUUUUAGUGCAACAAUGGGCUAUGUAAACCAUGUAUUUUUUAUGCUAUUUCCCUUCCUCUGCCAUCUUUCUUUCUCCUCAUCCUUACCUCAUUUGUGCACCACAGAUCAAGCUCUUGCUCUUCUACUAUUCAAGCACAUGUUUACAAUAAGUCAUGAUGCUUUUGAUCGUUGUUUUGACAUAACAGGCCAACCGAUUCAGUCAUAUCCAGAAACUCUUUCGUGGAACAAGAGGACAGAUUGUUGCUCUUGGGAUGGAGUUUAUUGUGACGAGACGACAGGAAAAGUGAUUGAGCUUAACCUCACUUGCAGCAAACUUCAAGGCAAGUUUCACUCCAGCAGUAGUGUCUUUCAACUCUCCAAUCUCAAAAGGCUUGAUUUGUCUAAUAAUAAUUUCUCUGGAUCGUACAUUUCGCCUAAAUUUGGUGAGUUUUCUAGUUUGAUGCAUCUUGAUUUGUCGGAUUCAAGAUUUGCAGGUCUAACCCCAGCAGAAAUCUCUCGUCUUUCUAAAUUACAAGUUCUUAGUAUCGAGAGUGAUCCAUAUGAGCUUAGAUUCGAACCUCACAAUUUUGAACUGCUCCUUAAGAACUUGACCCGAUUAAGAGAGCUCUACCUUAUCUAUGUGAACAUCUCUUCCACCAUUCCUCUAAAUUUAUCUUCUUAUUUAACUACUCUAUGGCUUCCAUUUACACAGUUAUACGGGGUAUUGCCCGAAAGAGUUUUCCACCUUUCCAACUUGGAAUCUCUUGAUUUAUCAAACAAUCCACAGCUCGCCGUUAGGUUUCCCACAACCAAAUGGAAUAGCAGUGCAUCACUUAUGAAGUUAUAUCUCAGUGGUGUGAAUGCUACUGGUAGGAUACCUGAAUCAUUUGGUCAUCUAACUUCAAUGCGUACAUUAGAGUUGUUUUCUUGUAGUCUCUCAGGGUCUAUUCCUAAACCUCUAUGGAAUCUCACCAACAUAGAGGAUUUGGACCUUGGUUAUAACCAUCUUGAAGGACCCAUUUCUGAUUUCUUUAGAUUUGGAAAGAUCAGGUCGUUAUCACUUAGAAAUAACAACUUUGAUGUCCAACUUGAGUUCUUAUCCUUUAACAGAAUCUGGACGCAACUUCAAUUCUUAGAUUUUUCAUUCAAUUCCCUAACAGGUCCAAUUCCUUCUAUUGUAAGUGGUAUGCAAAACCUACAACAUCUCAGCUUGUCAUCAAACCAUUUGAAUGGGACUAUACCAUCAUGGAUAUUCUCCCUCCCUUUACUAGUUGAUUUAGACUUGAGUGAUAACCAUUUUAGUGGAAACAUUCAUUAGUUUGGAAGUUCUUGAUUUAGGUAACAAUAAGUUGAAUGACACAUUUCCUAAAUGGUUGGGAGCCCUACCUGAGUUGUAGAUUUUGAACUUGAGAUCAAAUAAGUUCUAUGGCCCUAUAAAAGAUUCUAGGACUGACAACUUGUUUGCUCAAAUU
rnacentral:lncRNA from 1 species